GACGAACGCUGGCGGCGUGCUUAACACAUGCAAGUCGAACGGAAAGGCCUUUUCGGAGGUACUCGAGUGGCGAACGGGUGAGUAACACGUGGGUGAUCUGCCCUGCACUCUGGGAUAAGCCUGGGGAACUGGGUCUAAUACCGGAUAGGACCGCACUUUAGUGUGUGUGGUGGAAAGUUUUUUCGGUGUAGGAUGAGCCCGCGGCCUAUCAGCUUGUUGGUGGGGUAAUGGCCUACCAAGGCGGCGACGGGUAGCCGGACUGAGAGGUUGGUCGGCCACAUUGGGACUGAGAUACGGCCCAGACUCCUACGGGAGGCAGCAGUGGGGAAUAUUGCACAAUGGGCGCAAGCCUGAUGCAGCGACGCCGCGUGGGGGAUGACGGCCUUCGGGUUGUAAACUCCUUUCGCCAGGGACGAAGCGUUUUGUGACGGUACCUGGAGAAGAAGCACCGGCUAACUACGUG
rnacentral:rRNA from 1 species